UGUCCAAUGCGGGGAUCGAACCCGGGUCGUAGUGGUUGAAAACCAACGGUUUAGACCAUCCUUUCACCGACCCCCACAACCAUCAUGACUGGGU
rnacentral:tRNA from 1 species